rnacentral:tRNA from 1 species
GCCGGGAUGGCGGAAUUGGCAGACGCGAUGCGCUCAAACCGCAUUGGGCUUCGGCCCGUAGGGGUUCAAGUCCCCUUCCCGGCA